CAGUUUUGCUCUGAUCUUAGUUAUUUCUUGUCUUCUGCUAGGUUUUGAGUUUUGAGAUUUUUGGUCUUGCUCAUCUAGCUCUUUCAAUUUUGACCAUAGGGUGUCAAUUUUAGAUCUUUCCUUGCUUCUCAUGUGGGCAUUUAUUG